GGAUUAAGAGCUUGCUCUUAUGAAGUUAGCGGCGGACGGGUGAGUAACACGUGGGUAACCUGCCCAUAAGACUGGGAUAACUCCGGGAAACCGGGGCUAAUACCGGAUAACAUUUUGAACCGCAUGGUUCGAAAUUGAAAGGCGGCUUCGGCUGUCACUUAUGGAUGGACCCGCGUCGCAUUAGCUAGUUGGUGAGGUAACGGCUCACCAAGGCAACGAUGCGUAGCCGACCUGAGAGGGUGAUCGGCCACACUGGGACUGAGACACGGCCCAGACUCCUACGGGAGGCAGCAGUAGGGAAUCUUCCGCAAUGGACGAAAGUCUGACGGAGCAACGCCGCGUGAGUGAUGAAGGCUUUCGGGUCGUAAAACUCUGUUGUUAGGGAAGAACAAGUGCUAGUUGAAUAAGCUGGCACCUUGACGGUACCUAACCAGAAAGCCACGGCUAACUACGUGCCAGCAGCCGCGGUAAUACGUAGGUGGCAAGCGUUAUCCGGAAUUAUUGGGCGUAAAGCGCGCGCAGGUGGUUUCUUAAGUCUGAUGUGAAAGCCCACGGCUCAACCGUGGAGGGUCAUUGGAAACUGGGAGACUUGAGUGCAGAAGAGGAAAGUGGAAUUCCAUGUGUAGCGGUGAAAUGCGUAGAGAUAUGGAGGAACACCAGUGGCGAAAGCGACUUUCUGGUCUGUAACUGACACUGAG
rnacentral:rRNA from 2 species